UGCUAUCGGAUUGAUACUAAGCCAUGCGAGUCAUUGUAGUAAUACAAGGCAGACGGCUCAGUAACGCGUAGUCAACCUAACCUAUGGACGGGGAUAAUCUCGGGAAACUGAGCAUAAUACCCGAUAGAACAUUAUGCCUGGAAUGGUUUAUGUUCCAAAUGAUUUAUCGCCGUAGGAUGGGACUGCGGCCUAUCAGUUUGUUGGUGAGGUAAUGGCCCACCAAGACUAUUACAGGUACGGGCUCUGAGAGGAGUAGCCCGGAGAUGGGUACUGAGACACGGACCCAGGCCCUAUGGGGCGCAGCAGGCGAGAAAACUUUGCAAUGUGCGAAAGCACGACAAGGUUAAUCCGAGUGGUUUCUGCUAAAGGAACCUUUUGACAGUCCUAGAAACACUGUUGAAUAAGGGGUGGGCAAGUUCUGGUGUCAGCCGCCGCGGUAAAACCAGCACCUCAAGUGGUCAGGAUGAUUAUUGGGCCUAAAGCAUCCGUAGCCGGCUCUGUAAGUUUUCGGUUAAAUCUGUACGCUCAACGUACAGGCUGCCGGGAAUACUGCAGAGCUAGGGAGUGGGAGAGGUAGACGGUACUCGGUAGGAAGGGGUAAAAUCCUUUGAUCUAUUGAUGACCACCUGUGGCGAAGGCGGUCUACCAGAACACGUCCGACGGUGAGGGAUGAAAGCUGGGGGAGCAAACCGGAUUAGAUACCCGGGUAGUCCCAGCUGUAAACCAUGCAAACUCAGUGAUGCAUUGGCUUGUGGCCAAUGCAGUGCUGCAGGGAAGCCGUUAAGUUUGCCGCCUGGGAAGUACGUACGCNAGUAUGAAACUUAAAGGAAUUGGCGGGGGAGCACAA
rnacentral:rRNA from 1 species